rnacentral:rRNA from 1 species
GGUUAAAAAGCUCGUAGUUGGAUUUCUGUCGGUGAGUGAAAGUCCGCUCUCAGUGGUUGGUACUUUUCACGCCACCGGCAUCUUCCUGGGGAUUGUGUCUGCUCUUUGUUGAGUGGCGCAUAAUCCAGGACUUUUACUUUGAAGAAAUGAGAGUGUUUCAAGCAGGCCAUCGCCGUGAAUACGUUAGCAUGGAAUAAUAGCAUCGGACCUCGUUCCAAAGCUGUUGGUUUCUUGGACCGAGGUAAAGGUGAAUAGGGAUUGUUGGGGGCAUUCGUAUUUAACUGUCAGAGGUGAAAUUCUUGGAUUUGUUGAAGACGGACUACUGCGAAAGCAUCUGCCAAAGAUGUUCUCAUUGAUCAAGAACGAAAGUUAGGUGAUCAAAGACGAUCAGAUACCGUCCUAGUCUUAACCAUAAACUAUGCCGACUGGAGAUCG